GCCAGCGUGGUGUAGUGGUCUGAGCAUUGGACUAUGACUCUGGACACUGGGGUUCAAAUCCACACUUGGCC